rnacentral:rRNA from 1 species
AUUGAACGCUGGCGGCUGGCUUAACACAUGCAAGUCGAGCGGAGAUGAGGUGCUUGCACCUUAUCUUAGCGGCGGACGGGUGAGUAAUGCUUAGGAAUCUGCCUAUUAGUGGGGGACAACAUUCCGAAAGGAAUGCUAAUACCGCAUACGCCCUACGAGGGAAAGCAGGGGAUCUUCGGACCUUGCGCUAAUAGAUGAGCCUAAGUCGGAUUAGCUAGUUGGUGGGGUAAAGGCCUACCAAGGCGACGAUCUGUAGCGGGUCUGAGAGGAUGAUCCGCCAAACUGGGACUGAGACACGGCCCAGACUCCUACGGGAGGCAGCAGUGGGGAAUAUUGGACAAUGGGCGGAAGCCUGAUCCAGCCAUGCCGCGUGUGUGAAGAAGGCCUUUUGGUUGUAAAGCACUUUAAGCGAGGAGGAGGCUACCUGGAUUAAUACUCUAGGAUAGUGGACGUUACUCGCAGAAUAAGCACCGGCUAACUCUGUGCCAGCCGCCGCCGUAAGAC